UACGGAGGAGGCAAGCGUUAUCCGGAAUUAUUGGGCGUAAAGCGUCCGCAGGUGGCACUUCAAGUCUGUCGUCAAAGACUGGGGCUUAACCCUGGAAAGGCGGUGGAAACUGAAGCGCUAGAGUGCGGUAGGGGUAGAGGGAAUUCCCGGUGUAGUGGUGGAAUGCGUAGAUAUCUGGAGGAACACCGGUGGCGAAGGCGGCGGCCUGGACCAACACUGACACUGAUGAGCGAAAGCCAGGGGAGCAAACGGG
rnacentral:rRNA from 1 species